GAUGAAGAACGUAGCGAAAUGCGAUAAGUAGUGUGAAUUGCAGAAUUCAGUGAAUCAUCGAAUCUUUGAACGCACAUUGCGCCUCCUGGUAUUCCGGGAGGCAUGCCUGUUCGAGCGUCAUUAAAAUCACUCAAGCUUAGGUUUACUUAUUGCUUGGUCUUGGAGAUGGAGGCCAAUUUAUUGGAAUCCUCUUCGAAAUUCAAUGGCGAAGACCCUUGCUCUCCCAAGUGUAGUAAUAACUUAUGUCACUGAAGGAAGCGAGAAAUCUUCUGCCGUAACCCCCAUAUUUUCUAUGAUUGACCUCGGAUCAGGUAGGGAUACCCGCUGAACUUAAGCAUAUCAAUAAGCGGAGGA
rnacentral:misc_RNA from 1 species